AAAACGGUCUUUAUCAAGACCACAUACCCAACAUGACAAAUGAAUG
rfam:Acyrthosiphon pisum strain LSR1 Contig38791, whole genome shotgun sequence.